rnacentral:rRNA from 1 species
UGGGGAAUAUUGCACAAUGGGCGAAAGCCUGAUGCAGCGACGCCGCGUGAGGGAUGACGGCCUUCGGGUUGUAAACCUCUUUCAGCAGGGAAGAAGCGAAAGUGACGGUACCUGCAGAAGAAGCGCCGGCUAACUACGUGCCAGCAGCCGCGGUAAUACGUAGGGCGCAAGCGUUGUCCGGAAUUAUUGGGCGUAAAGAGCUCGUAGGCGGUUAGUCGCGUCUGCUGUGAAAACUCGAGGCUCAACCUCGGGCUUGCAGUGGGUACGGGCUGACUAGAGUGCAGUAGGGGUGACUGGAAUUCCUGGUGUAGCGGUGGAAUGCGCAGAUAUCAGGAGGAACACCGAUGGCGAAGGCAGGUCACUGGGCCGCAACUGACGCUGAGGAGCGAAAGCAUGGGGAGCGAACAGGAUUAGAUACCCUGGUAGUCCAUGCCGUAAACGUUGGGCACUAGGUGUGGGGUCCAUUCCACGGAUUCCGUGCCGCAGCAAACGCAUUAAGUGCCCCGCCUGGGGAGUACGGCCGCAAGGCUAAAACUCAAAGGAAUUGACGGGGGUC